rnacentral:rRNA from 1 species
CAUAGCCUUUAGCCAAACAAGUAUUAAAGGUUCAGCCUGCCCGGUGAUAACCUUAAACGGCCGCGGUACCCUAACCGUGCGAAGGUAGCAUAAUCAUUUGUUUCCCAAAUAGAGACUAGUAUGAACGGCUAAAUGAGGACUUAACUGUCUCCUUUGGUUACCCAAUGAAACUGAUCUCCUAGUACAAAAGCUAGGUUAAACCAAUAAGACGAGAAGACCCUGUGGAUCUUCAAACACACCUAUUACCAUAUCGAAGCGCACAGUCUAUGAGUAAUAAUAGUUUUUAGUUGGGGCGACUAUGGGUAAAAACAAAACACCCAUGAAACAGGCUAACCCCCCUCACCGGCAAACACGCUACACAAUGACCCAGUAUAACUGACUAACGAACCAAGUUACCCCAGGGAUAACAGCGCCAUCCCCUUAAAGAGUCCAUAUCACCAAGGGGGCUUACGACCUCGAUGUUGGAUCAGGACCCCCAGGCGGCGCAGCCGCUGCCAACGGUUCGUUUGUUCAACGAUUAAUGUCCUACGUGAUCU